UCGAGCGGAUGACGGGAGCUUGCUCCCUGAUUUAGCGGGGGACGGGAGAGUAAUGCCUAGGAAUCUGCCUGGUAGUGGGGGAUAACGUUCCGAAAGGAACGCUAAUACCGCGUACGUCCUACGGGAGAAAGCAGGGGACCUUCGGGCCUUGCGCUAUCAGAUGAGCCUAGGUCGGAUUAGCUAGUUGGUGAGGUAAUGGCUCACCAAGGCGACGAUCCGUAACUGGUCUGAGAGGAUGAUCAGUCACACUGGAACUGAGACACGGUCCAGACUCCUACGGGAGGCAGCAGCGGGGAAUAUUGGACAAUGGGCGAAAGCCUGAUCCAGCCAUGCCGCGUGUGUGAAGAAGGUCUUCGGAUUGUAAAGCACUUUAAGUUGGGAGGAAGGGCAGUAAGUUAAUACCUUGCUGUUUUGACGUUACCGACAGAAUAAGCACCGGCUAACUUCGUGCCAGCAGCCGCGGUAAUACGAAGGGUGCAAGCGUUAAUCGGAAUUACUGGGCGUAAAGCGCGCGUAGGUGGGUCAUUAAGUUGGAUGUGAAAUCCCC
rnacentral:rRNA from 1 species